rnacentral:rRNA from 1 species
ACGGGAGGCAGCAGUGAGGAAUAUUGGUCAAUGGGCGAGAGCCUGAACCAGCCAAGUCGCGUGAAGGAUGAAGGUUCUAUGGAUUGUAAACUUCUUUUAUUCGAGGGUAAAGUGAGUCACGUGUGGUUCAUUGCAAGUAUCGAAUGAAUAAGCAUCGGCUAACUCCGUGCCAGCAGCCGCGGUAAUACGGAGGAUGCGAGCGUUAUCCGGAUUUAUUGGGUUUAAAGGGUGCGUAGGCGGGACGUUAAGUCAGUGGUAAAAGCGUGUGGCUCAACCAUACCAAGCCAUUGAAACUGUCGUUCUUGAGUGUAAACGAGGUAGGCGGAAUGUGACGUGUAGCGGUGAAAUGCUUAGAUAUGUCACAGAACCCCGAUUGCGAAGGCAGCUUACCAGCAUACAACUGACGCUGAGGCACGAAAGCGUGGGUAUCAAACAGGAUUAGAUACCCUGGUA